rnacentral:rRNA from 1 species
AUUGAACGCUGGCGGCAGGCUUAACACAUGCAAGUCGAACGAUGAUUAUCUAGCUUGCUAGAUAUGAUUAGUGGCGGACGGGUGAGUAACAUUUAGGAAUCUGCCUAGUAGUGGGGGAUAGCUCGGGGAAACUCGAAUUAAUACCGCAUACGACCUACGGGUGAAAGGGGGCGCAAGCUCUUGCUAUUAGAUGAGCCUAAAUCAGAUUAGCUAGUUGGUGGGGUAAAGGCCCACCAAGGCGACGAUCUGUAACUGGUCUGAGAGGAUGAUCAGUCACACCGGAACUGAGACACGGUCCGGACUCCUACGGGAGGCAGCAGUGGGGAAUAUUGGACAAUGGGGGCAACCCUGAUCCAGCCAUGCCGCGUGUGUGAAGAAGGCCUUUUGGUUGUAAAGCACUUUAAGCAGGGAGGAGAGGCUAAUGGUUAAUACCCAUUAGAUUAGACGUUACCUGCAGAAUAAGCACCGGCUAACUCUGUGCCAGCAGCCGCGGUAAUACAGAGGGUGCGAGCGUUAAUCGGAAUUACUGGGCGUAAAGCGAGUGUAGGUGGCUCAUUAAGUCACAUGUGAAAUCCCCGGGCUUAACCUGGGAACUGCAUGUGAUACUGGUGGUGCUAGAAUAUGUGAGAGGGAAGUAGAGUUCCAGGUGUAGCGGUGAAAUGCGUAGAGAUCUGGAGGAAUACCGAUGGCGAAGGCAGCUUCCUGGCACAAUAUUGACACUGAGAUUCGAAAGCGUGGGUAGCAAACAGGAUUAGAUACCCUGGUAGUCCACGCCGUAAACGAUGUCUACUAGCCGUUGGGGUCCUUGAGACUUUAGUGGCGCAGUUAACGCGAUAAGUAGACCGCCUGGGGAGUACGGCCGCAAGGUUAAAACUCAAAUGAAUUGACGGGGGCCCGCACAAGCGGUGGAGCAUGUGGUUUAAUUCGAUGCAACGCGAAGAACCUUACCUGGUCUUGACAUAGUGAGAAUCCUGCAGAGAUGCGGGAGUGCCUUCGGGAAUUCACAUACAGGUGCUGCAUGGCUGUCGUCAGCUCGUGUCGUGAGAUGUUGGGUUAAGUCCCGCAACGAGCGCAGCCCUUUUCCUUAUUUGCCAGCGGGUUAAGCCGGGAACUUUAAGGAUACUGCCAGUGACAAACUGGAGGAAGGCGGGGACGACGUCAAGUCAUCAUGGCCCUUACGACCAGGGCUACACACGUGCUACAAUGGUAGGUACAGAGGGUUGCUACACAGCGAUGUGAUGCUAAUCUCAAAAAGCCUAUCGUAGUCCGGAUUGGAGUCUGCAACUCGACUCCAUGAAGUCGGAAUCGCUAGUAAUCGCAGAUCAGAAUGCUGCGGUGAAUACGUUCCCGGGCCU